GCUGGGCGUGAUGGCUCACGCCUGUAAUCCCAGCACUUUGGGAGGCCGAGGUGGGUGGAUCACCUGAGGUCAGGAGUUCAAGACCAGCCUGACCAACAUGGUGAAACCCUGUCUCUA
rnacentral:sRNA from 1 species